UACAAAACACUUUAUGUUUGUUAUCUCGUUUGAUCCUCAAAAUAAGUACCAUUAUUAUCCCUAUUUUACAGAUGAAGAAACCGAGGCUGAGAGAUUAAAUGACCCAUCCAGCAAUCAAGUCUUCCUGACCCCAAACCCAAUGCUCCAUCCAUUGUCUUCAAAUGUUUUAUCAAACUAUUCUCCCUUGGUGGGAUUUGAUGUUCAACCUUGGGCAAAAUUCUUGAUGGCUCCAUUUUUCCUCCUCUGGUCUUUACUUCCCAAAUCAAUAACCCCAAAACAUUGAAGUAAUGAACAUUGUGUGGCUGGGAGAGACAACAGAGGUCACCUAACCCAACUGGCCCAUCUAAUGGAAAAGGAAAUGGAGUAUCAAAGAGACCAAGUGAUUUCUCAAG
rnacentral:lncRNA from 1 species